ACACUGUCAGAAACUUACACCGCCUCAUUUGAUAAAAGCACCAUUCAGGCCUCAAUUGCAAAAAUUCCAGAGCGAAAUUCCAAACCCUAAUGAAAAAUUCCCCUCUUUCUUUCAGGGAAUUCGGCGAUAAUCGAAAUUCUACUUCUUCCUCAAACAUUAUGAUGGAGUGCGAAGUUCCGGAAUUCGAACUCCCAAGUGUUUUCCAGAACACCAUCUUUCGAUUUCUGGAUAUCAAUUUCCGUAAUUGAAAAUCUUCAAUUCAUAUGAGUGGUAAUUGAUUGCCGUGUUUUGAAUAUCGCCUUCUGAAGAGCCAAUAAUGAAGAUCUCUUUGAUUUUGCUAUUUAGUUACAUUGAGUUAUUGGAGUGCGAAGAACGAAUGUCUAAGUUAGAAGGUUGUUUGAAGGUAUUGGUUCUUCGUAGGCAGACUUACGGUUUUUACGAUCAAUUCUUUGUACUCGUAUGGAUGCGCCUCCACUUCUGCAAGGCAUGCGCCUCCUUAGCAUGCGCCUCGGCCUUCGCGCCUUAUCUAGGUUUGACAUCAGUGAGUGGAUUUUGAUAUGAUAAAGAAGAUCACACUUCUUGCCAAAGAUGUUAUCCUCUAUAGGCUGGAAACUGGUGUUCAGAAUAAAGGGUAUGGGGAGCACCCACACCCAAUAGCAAAGGUUUAUUGUAUGAUGAAGUGCGUGAGAGAUGAUCUUUUUUUAGAUGAAAUUAUAUGCAGACCUGACUUGGGAAAUCACUUGCAGGUUUCUUCAAUAAUAUUAGAGAUUGGAACUAAGAUUUAGGAGAGAUAUGAAACGGGGGCCUGGGUGUAUUUUUUAUCGUACAAAGUUAUGUUAUACUAAACUGAAUAGAUUCUUGGUGACAACUUGUUUUUACUAUACACUACUUGUAUUUAAUGCUGAAAAAUAAUAAGAGCCUUAAUUGGGGAUGGUGUGAUGUAUACUUUCCAGGAUAAGGUAGAUGUGAAUGCUUGUUUUAGUUCAGCUCACUUGCGGUUGAUAGGAUGCUUAGUUUUGUUAUUCUUGUGGGUUUGUGGCAAUUGUAAUUUGAAGUUAGAAUUGAGUGGAUGGAAGCUCCACUUGAAAGAGUAUGGUCAUGCCUAAAGUGGCUAGAGUGAUGAUUUUUAUAUGAAGCAAGUGAUCGAUGCUAUUCUUCAAGUUUCAUCGUAUAGCUUUUGUGGUGGAUGUUUCAAUGGGCAUAUUGCUGAUAACUAACGGGAAAUUCAUACUGACAUGGUGACAAUAUUAAUGAAUUACUGGUAUUGAGUUGAGUGUGCCCC